UUUGCCUCUCUGCACAUAGGUUUCUUCAUCUGUAUAGAGUUUAAAUGUCUAAUAAUUGAAGAGCUAUCACCCACAUAAAUUAACAGACUCUCUCUCUCUCUCUCUUUUUUUUUAAGGAAUACAACAUUUAUAUCUAAAAGUUUCACACAUACUCACUGGCCAGUGUCAAAUGCAAGCUGCCUUGUUCUCUACAGGAGUAGUGAGGAGUAUCUUUGAGAUGCCUUCCAGCUCUUGCUAACCAUAAUGAGAAGAUAGCACCAAUGUCAGUAAGACAGCCCCCAAGAUGAUUCAAAAUUCUGGGAAAAAUCUGAGAAGAAAGAAAAAAAAAUCCCGAGAAGAAAAAUCCAGAACUUGCUAGACUUGAAAAUUCUCAUUUUCUCUAGAUGAGAAAUAACGCUAA
rnacentral:lncRNA from 1 species